GAUGAACGCUAGCUACAGGCUUAACACAUGCAAGUCGAGGGGCAGCAUGGUCUUAGCUUGCUAAGGCCGAUGGCGACCGGCGCACGGGUGAGUAACACGUAUCCAACCUGCCGUCUACUCUUGGACAGCCUUCUGAAAGGAAGAUUAAUACAAGAUGGCAUCAUGAGUCCGCAUGUUCACAUGAUUAAAGGUAUUCCGGUAGACGAUGGGGAUGCGUUCCAUUAGAUAGUAGGCGGGGUAACGGCCCACCUAGUCUUCGAUGGAUAGGGGUUCUGAGAGGAAGGUCCCCCACAUUGGAACUGAGACACGGUCCAAACUCCUACGGGAGGCAGCAGUGAGGAAUAGUGAUCAAUGGGCGAGAGCCUGAACCAGCCAAGUAGCGUGAAGGAUGACUGCCCUAUGGGUGGUAAACUUCUUUUAUAAAGGAAUAAAGUCGGGUAUGGAUACCCGUUUGCAUGUACUUUAUGAAUAAGGAUCGGCUAACUCCGUG
rnacentral:rRNA from 1 species